UUCAAGCUCGCUUUCAAUUUCUUUUUUUACUCUUUCUUUUUCCAUAGAAAACUCAUCUAUUCUCGUUUCUUUUUCAAUGACUCUUGUUUCUUGCAUACUUUCUUUCCUUUCUUCAAUCUCACUCUCUUUUUCAAUUUUCUUUUCAAUUUUCUUUUCUAUCUCACACUCAUCUUCUUUUUCUUUCAUUUCCUUUUCUUUUUCAUUUUCUCGCUCGCAUUCUUUUUCUUUUUCACAUGAUGUUUCGAUUUCAUUACAAAAGUAUAAAUCAUCAACAUGAUAAGCCUUUCGUUGAGAAUAAGAAAAUGUUUCUUCAUACAAAAGACGAUCAUCUCUUUGUGAUUGAUCUUCCGUAUACGAGUACUUUGACACUCUUGAAACACGUUCGCCUCUUCGUAAAUAAUCCUUCGUAGAUGAAUAAAUUGAGGCACUU
rnacentral:lncRNA from 1 species